rnacentral:rRNA from 1 species
GAUGAACGCUGGCGGCGUGCCUAAUACAUGCAAGUCGAGCGAACAGACGAGGAGCUUGCUCCUCUGAUGUUAGCGGCGGACGGGUGAGUAACACGUGGAUAACCUACCUAUAAGACUAGGAUAACUUCGGGAAACCGGAGCUAAUACCGGAUAACAUGUUGAACCGCAUGGUUCAACAGUGAAAGACGGUCUUGCUGUCACUUAUAGAUGGAUCCGCGCCGCAUUAGCUAGUUGGUAAGGUAACGGCUUACCAAGGCAACGAUGCGUAGCCGACCUGAGAGGGUGAUCGGCCACACUGGAACGGAGACACGGUCCAGACUCCUACGGGAGGCAGCAGUAGGGAAUCUUCCGCAAUGGGCGAAAGCCUGACGGAGCAACGCCGCGUGAGUGAAGAAGGUCUUCGAAUCGUAAAACUCUGUUAUUAGGGAAGAACAAAUGUGUAAGUAACUAUGCACGUCUUGACGGUACCUAAUCAGAAAGCCACGGCUAACUACGUG